ACCAAAUCAUCAAUUUGGACCAAACCAAGCCUUAUUGCCCAAUCACAGGAAGAGAGAGAAAAAAAAUCUCAACUCCUUCCCCUCUCUCGACGCCGACAGCUCUCCCUCUCCCUUUCUUUCGGUCUCCGGCCACCUGCCACCAUUUUCGACAAAUGAACGCUCUAAAUGCACCUAUUCGAUGCAAGAAUCAAGAAUAUGGCCUCAAAUAGUGCUGUUAUUGCGCCGUUGGAGAGAAAUCGCAAUCUAAAGGGGCUGUUACUGUCGCAGCACAAUUUUCCGGCGAUUCUCGCCGUUCUCGAGGAGCUGGGGUGACAAGGUUAGCUCGAAUCGACUCCUUGCGACUGGGCGAGCAUUUCCCUCAGUCGAUUCAUGGGUUUAUCAGGAAAUGAGGAGACCACCGUGAACGGCGGUGAGGUUAGCUACUGUCGGCCUGAUUCCGGCCAAAUGGCUCAUCGGCUCGCUGAAUUGAUGUCGAAAUCGAACUCACCAUCAAAUUCCAAGCAGAGCAGUGGAAGCCUCGUGAAGUUCCCGUGAGACACGAUUUUCCGUCUACCGUGAACGGCAGCCCGCGAUGGAGAUCCGGUUAGACUCCGGCAGGGACUUAGAGGCAGAAUCGUCUACCCUAGAAGCUGAUCUCAAAUCCGCGAUCCAAUUUCAAAUUUAUGCAUUAGUCACAAGGAUUUGCACGAUGAAAGCUGAUAAAGGAUUGGGAAUGAGAUUAGCUAUGCUUUUAGCAUACAGAAUGGAGCUGCCGCUUGCAGAUCAGGCCUGACUUACGUUGGACCCGCCCCCUG